UGAGAACCGCAGCUUCUGAGAAACCUACAGAGCUUAGAGGGCAUACAGUAGCAGUGAAUCCCUGGGAAAGAGGCCUUUUGAAGCAUCAGAAAAAUAUAAAUGAAUUUCCUGCACCUGCACAAAAUAAGACCUACUGUGUUAAGGAAGUUAUUCCGAACCCCGAUUUUCAGAAUCAUCCUCUGACAAAUUCUUAUCGCCGACCUGAUGUUGCUCCAGCUCCCACAAAGAUAGUAAUUCUGAGGCCUGGUCCUGAAA
rnacentral:misc_RNA from 1 species